CGUGGGUGAAGAAGGCUUUCGGGUCGUAAAGCCCUGUCAGGUGGGAAAAAAUAUUCCUGGUUAAUAGCCAGGGGAGCUGAUGGUACCACCAGAGGAAGCACCGGCUAACUCCGUGCCAGCAGCCGCGGUAAUACGGAGGGUGCUAGCGUUGUUCGGAAUUACUGGGCGUAAAGAGCGUGUAGGCGGCCUGAUAAGUCAGAUGUGAAAGCCCUGGGCUUAACUCAGGAAGUGCAUUUGAAACUGUCAGGCUUGAGUAUGGGAGAGGAGAGUGGAAUUCCCAGUGUAGAGGUGAAAUUCGUAGAUAUUGGGAGGAACACCCGUGGCGAAGGCGACUCUCUGGACCAAUACUGACGCUGAGACGCGAAAGCGUGGGGAGCAAACAGGAUUAGAUACCCUGGUAGUCCACGCCGUAAACGAUGAGCACUAGGUGUAGCGGGUAUUGACCCCUGCUGUGCCGCAGCUAACGCAUUAA
rnacentral:rRNA from 1 species